rnacentral:rRNA from 1 species
GGCGAGUGGCGAACGGGUGAGUAAUACAUCGGAACGUGUCCUGGAGUGGGGGAUAGCCCGGCGAAAGCCGGAUUAAUACCGCAUACGCUCUGUGGAGGAAAGCGGGGGAUCUUCGGACCUCGCGCUCAAGGGGCGGCCGAUGGCAGAUUAGCUAGUUGGUGGGGUAAAGGCCUACCAAGGCGACGAUCUGUAGCUGGUCUGAGAGGACGACCAGCCACACUGGGACUGAGACACGGCCCAGACUCCUACGGGAGGCAGCAGUGGGGAAUUUUGGACAAUGGGGGCAACCCUGAUCCAGCAAUGCCGCGUGUGUGAAGAAGGCCUUCGGGUUGUAAAGCACUUUUGUCCGGAAAGAAAACCUCUGGGUUAAUACCCUGGGGGGAUGACGGUACCGGAAGAAUAAGCACCGGCUAACUACGUGCCAGCAGCCGCGGUAAUACGUAGGGUGCGAGCGUUAAUCGGAAUUACUGGGCGUAAAGCGUGCGCAGGCGGUUCGCUAAGACCGAUGUGAAAUCCCCGGGCUUAACCUGGGAACUGCAUUGGUGACUGGCGGGCUAGAGUAUGGCAGAGGGGGGUAGAAUCCACGUGUAGCAGUGAAAUGCGUAGAGAUGUGGAGGAAUACCGAUGGCGAAGGCAGCCCCCUGGGCCCAUACUGACGCUCAUGCACGAAAGCGUGGGGAGC